CUUGCUCCUCUGACGUUAGCGGCGGACGGGUGAGUAACACGUGGAUAACCUACCUAUAAGACUGGGAUAACUUCGGGAAACCGGAGCUAAUACCGGAUAAUAUAUUGAACCGCAUGGUUCAAUAGUGAAAGACGGUUUUGCUGUCACUUAUAGAUGGAUCCGCGCCGCAUUAGCUAGUUGGUAAGGUAACGGCUUACCAAGGCAACGAUGCGUAGCCGACCUGAGAGGGUGAUCGGCCACACUGGAACUGAGACACGGUCCAGACUCCUACGGGAGGCAGCAGUAGGGAAUCUUCCGCAAUGGGCGAAAGCCUGACGGAGCAACGCCGCGUGAGUGAUGAAGGUCUUCGGAUCGUAAAACUCUGUUAUUAGGGAAGAACAAAUGUGUAAGUAACUAUGCACGUCUUGACGGUACCUAAUCAGAAAGCCACGGCUAACUACGUGCCAGCAGCCGCGGUAAUACGUAGGUGGCAAGCGUUAUCCGGAAUUAUUGGGCGUAAAGCGCGCGUAGGCGGUUUUUUAAGUCUGAUGUGAAAGCCCACGGCUCAACCGUGGAGGGUCAUUGGAAACUGGAAAACUUGAGUGCAGAAGAGGAAAGUGGAAUUCCAUGUGUAGCGGUGAAAUGCGCAGAGAUAUGGAGGAACACCAGUGGCGAAGGCGACUUUCUGGUCUGUAACUGACGCUGAUGUGCGAAAGCGUGGGGAUCAAACAGGAUUAGAUACCUGGUAGUCCACGCCGUAAACGAUGAGUGCUAAGUGUUAGGGGGUUUCCGCCCCUUAGUGCUGCAGCUAACGCAUUAAGCACUCCGCCUGGGGAGUACGACCGCAAGUUG
rnacentral:rRNA from 1 species